rnacentral:rRNA from 1 species
UACGGAGGGUGCAAGCGUUAUCCGGAUUCACUGGGUUUAAAGGGCGCGUAGGUGGUUUGGUAAGUCCGUGGUGAAAUCUCCGAGCUUAACUCGGAAACUGCCGUGGAUACUAUCAAUCUUGAAUACUGUGGAGGUAAGCGGAAUAUGUCAUGUAGCGGUGAAAUGCUUAGAUAUGACAUAGAACACCGAUAGCGGAGGCAGCUUGCUACACAGUCAUUGACACUGAGGCACGAAAGCGUGGGGAUCAAACAGG